rnacentral:rRNA from 1 species
UACGGAGGGUGCGAGCGUUGUUCGGAAUCACUGGGCGUAAAGCGCGUGUAGGCGGCCCACUAAGUCUGAUGUGAAAGCCCGGGGCUCACCCCCGGAAAUGCAUUGGAAACUGGUGGACUCGAGUCCCGGAGAGGAGAGUGGAAUUCCUGGUGUAGCGGUGAAAUGCGUAGAUAUCAGGAGGAACACCGGUGGCGAAGGCGGCUCUCUGGACGGUGACUGACGCUGAGACGCGAAAGCGUGGGGAGCAAACAGG